rnacentral:tRNA from 1 species
GGGGCUGUAGCUCAGGCUGGUUAGAGCGCACGCCUGAUAAGCGUGAGGUCGGUGGUUCAAUUCCAUCCAGCCCCA